UGGGGAAUAUUGCACAAUGGGCGCAAGCCUGAUGCAGCCAUGCCGCGUGUGUGAAGAAGGCCUUCGGGUUGUAAAGCACUUUCAGCGGGGAGGAAGGCGGUGAGGUUAAUAACCUCACCGAUUGACAUUACCCGCAGAAGAAGCACCGGCUAACUCCGUGCCAGCAGCCGCGGUAAUACGGAGGGUGCAAGCGUUAAUCGGAAUUACUGGGCGUAAAGCGCACGCAGGCGGUCUGUCAAGUCGGAUGUGAAAUCCCCGGGCUCAACCUGGGAACUGCAUUCGAAACUGGCAGGCUAGAGUCUUGUAGAGGGGGGUAGAAUUCCAGGUGUAGCGGUGAAAUGCGUAGAGAUCUGGAGGAAUACCGGUGGCGAAGGCGGCCCCCUGGACGAAGACUGACGCUCAGGUGCGAAAGCGUGGGGAGCAAACAGG
rnacentral:rRNA from 1 species